ACUGGAGAGCCUCAUUGGUGCCUGCUGAGGCAGAUUGGAGCUGCGGUAGCGAUAGUGUGAACUGGGUCAGGAAAGCAGCGUAGAGAAGAACAGGCUCUGAAUCAGCAAUUAUAAACAGAUCUAUAUAUAUUCUAUUGAAGUUCCACUGAAUUCAAGACGACCAUAUUCUGAAAUAAUCUAAUAUUACUGUCCAUCAACCGUCAAAAAAAGAAUAAGGCAUUUUUGGAACACU